AGUCAAUAAGUUUUAGAUGAAACUUAUACCUUGAAAGUAUAAAAAGAAAGUUAAAUUCUUUCAUUGACUU
rnacentral:tRNA from 1 species